rnacentral:rRNA from 1 species
GAAUGGGGACGAAUUCAAGCAUGCUAGUCGUACGAGUUCAGACUCGUGGCGUAUAGCUCAGUAACACGUGGUCAAACCACCCUCUGGACCGGGAUACCCUCGGGAAACUGAGGUCAAUCCCGGAUACCGCUUUCACGUUGGAAAAACGGAAAGCUGGAAACGGUCCGCCGCCGGAGGACGUGACUGCGGCCGAUUAGGUAGACGGUGGGGUAACGGCCCACCGUGCCAAUAAUCGGUACGGGUUGUGAGAGCAAGAGCCCGGAGACGGAAUCUGAGACAAGAUUCCGGGCCCUACGGGGCGCAGCAGCCGCGAAACCUUUACACUGCACGACAGUGCGAUAAGGGGAUCCCGAGUGCGAGGGCAUACAGUCCUCGCUUUUCGUGACCGUAAGGUGGUCACAGAAUAAGGGCUGGGCAAGACCGGUGCCAGCCGCCGCGGUAAUACCGGCAGCCCGAGUGAUAGCCAAUUUUAUUGGGCCUAAAGCGUCCGUAGCCGGCCGAACGGGUCCGUCGGGAAAUCCACCCGCUUAACGGGUGGGCGUCCGGCGGAAACCAGUCGGCUUGGGGCCGGGAGACCAGAGGGGUACGUCCGGGGUAGGAGUGAAAUCCUGUAAUCCUGGACGGACCACCGGUUGCGAAAGCGCCUCUGGAGAACGGACC